rnacentral:rRNA from 1 species
AUUGAACGCUGGCGGCAGGCCUAACACAUGCAAGUCGAACGAGUGGCGGACGGGUGAGUAAUGUCUGGGAAACUGGCUGAUGGAGGGGGAUAACUACUGGAAAAGGUAGCUAAUACCGCAUACCAUCGGAUGUGCCCAUAUGGGAGUAGCUAGUCGGUGGGGUAAAGGCUCACGUAGGCGACGAUCCCUAGCUGGUCUGAGAGGAUGACCAGCCACACUGGACCUGAGACACGGUCCAGACUCCUACGGGAGGCAGCAGUAGGGAAUAUUGCACAAUGGGCGCAAGCCUGAAACAGCCAGGCCGCGUGUAUGAAGAAGGCCUUCAGGUUGUAAAGUACUUUCAGCGGAGAGGCGUUACCCACAGAAGAAGCACCGGCUAACUCCGUGCUAGCAGCCGCGGUAAUUC